rnacentral:rRNA from 1 species
CUACGGGCGGCUCCAGUGAGGAAUUUUGCGCCCUUUUUUAAACCCUUACUCAUCCCCGCCGCCUUCUUUAUGAAGGCUUUCGGGUCGUAAAGCUCUGUCAAGUGGGGAGAACCUACGAAGUUUUAAUACCACUUUUUCCCUCCUUUCCCCCUUCCUUCCUCACCGGCUAACUCCGUGCCAGCAGCCGCGGUAAUACGGGGGGUGCAAGCGUUAUUCGGAAUCAUUGGGCGUAAAGAGCACGUAGGCGGUUUUAUAAGUCAGAUGUGAAAGCCCGGGGCUUAACCUCGGAAGUGCAUUUGAAACUAUGAGACUUGAGUAUGGGAGAGGGAAGUGGAAUUCCUGGUGUAGAGGUGAAAUUCGUAGAUAUCAGGAGGAACACCGGUGGCGAAGGCGACUUCCUGGACCAAUACUGACGCUGAGGUGCGAAGGCGUGGGUAGCAAACAGGAUUAGAUACCCGCGUAGUC